AGAGAAGAGAAAGAAAGAGAGGGAAGAAGAGAGGCGAUCUCGAAUUAGGGAUCUAGAAAUAGUUGAUCAAACGAGAUUUAUUUUAAAAAAAAGCAAGAAGAAGCUAUAAAUCAUCAUCAACAACCGAAAGAUCCUUCGGUGUCGAGGAAUCAACUAGCGACGUUACUUUUAUCUGUAUCUCAAGAAAAUGAGGAUUCUCCUAGCAGUGACAAGGAAAUUACGAAGAAGCUUAUACAUGAGGUGUAGUGAAGGUCAAAGAUGAUAAAGAUGAGUCCCCAACUUAUGUUGCUAUGCUUGCAUCCCAAGAUGAUGCAACGCGGUGCAAGGUUAUCCGCUAAACUUACCUAUGCAAAUCUGAAUGUUAUCCAACUGGAGUUUGGCGUGGUUGGUAUUUUUCUCUGUCUAUGUGGAUUAGGGUGCAGUUUGGCUAUCAUGGAUUCUGGAUUUUUUGGAUCUUUGCAGCGUUGUACAUAAUUGUACACACCAAUGUAAAUUAAAAAAAUUAAAAAUGAAAAUUAUAUAGUCAUCUGGGUACUCUUUUUGUAGCUCUCGGAAAAUGCUUUCCAAAUAUGUAA